UACAGAGGGUGCGAGCGUUGUUCGGAAUUACUGGGCGUAAAGGGUUCGUAGGUGGCCACUUAAGUCAGACGUGAAAUCCCUCAGCUUAACUGGGGAACUGCGUCUGAUACUGAGUGGCUUGAGUGCAGGAGAGGAAUGCGGAAUUCCAGGUGUAGCGGUGAAAUGCGUAGAUAUCUGGAGGAACACCGGUGGCGAAGGCGGCAUUCUGGACUGUAACUGACACUGAGGAACGAAAGCCAGGGGAGCAAACGGG
rnacentral:rRNA from 1 species